rnacentral:tRNA from 1 species
CGAGAGGUUUANAAGACCUGCUAACUCUUUAAUCUGGAAAA